AGCGCAGGCGGGAAGACAAGUUGGAAGUGAAAACCCAGGGCUUAACUCUGGGACUGCUUUUGAAACUGUCAGACUGGAGUGCAGGAGAGGUAAGCGGAAUUCCUAGUGUAGCGGUGAAAUGCGUAGAUAUUAGGAGGAACAUCAGUGGCGAAGGCGGCUUACUGGACUGAAACUGACACUGAGGCACGAAAGCGUGGGGAGCAAACA
rnacentral:rRNA from 1 species